rnacentral:rRNA from 1 species
CGUAAAACCCCAACUUCUGAAUGUUGACCUCGGAUCAGGUAGGAAUACCCGCUGAACUUAAGCAUAUCAAAAGGCCGGAGAGA